CCUACGGGAGGCAGCAGUGAGGAAUAUUGGUCAAUGGACGAGAGUCUGAACCAGCCAAGUAGCGUGAAGGAUGACUGCCCUCUGGGUUGUAAACUUCUUUUAUAAAGGAAUAAAACGCGGCAUGUAUGCCUUUUUGCAUGUACUUUAUGAAUACGGCUCGGCUAACUACGUGCCAGCAGCCGCGGUAAUACGGAGGGUCCGAGCGUUAACCGGAUUUAUUGGGGGUAAAGGGAGCGUAGGUGGGUUGUUAAGUCAGUUGUGAAAUUUUACGGCUUAACCGUAGAACUGCAAUUGAUACUGGUAUUCUUGAGUAUAGGUGAGGUAGGUGGAAUUCGUGGUGUAGCGGUGAAAUGCGUAGAGAUCACGAGGAACCCCGAUUGCGAAGGCGGCUUACUAGACUAUGACUGACGCUGAUGCGCGAAAGCGUGGGGAUCAAACAGGAUUAGAUACCCCAGUAGUC
rnacentral:rRNA from 1 species